rnacentral:rRNA from 1 species
UACGUAGGGUGCGAGCGUUGUCCGGAAUUACUGGGCGUAAAGAGUUCGUAGGCGGUUUGUCGCGUCGUUCGUGAAAACUUGGGGCUUAACUCCAAGCGUGCGGGCGAUACGGGCAGACUUGAGUACUACAGGGGAGACUGGAAUUCCUGGUGUAGCGGUGAAAUGCGCAGAUAUCAGGAGGAACACCGGUGGCGAAGGCGGGUCUCUGGGCCGAUACUGACGCUGAGGAGCGAAAGCGUGGGGAGCGAACAGG